AGCCUGCGUUAUAUUUUGGGUUCAUUCAUUUCAAUUCCUGUGAACGGUAAAAAAGAAAAAAAGAAAAAAAAGGUUAAGAUGUUUAAAAACGUUUAAAAAGCAAUUUCCAAACACUAGUAAUAUUCCUAUGUCAAAUGCCUUUGUUAUGUACAAUUUUGUAUUUUAUUUCUGUAUUUAAUAAUUGCCAAAUUAUUUUACUAGUUUCUAAUUGGUUAAGGAUACUGAUCCUUGUUGCGCAAUUGGAAGGGGAGAAAAAAAGAGAGAGAGUUCGGCGGAGGGAGGUGAAGGAGACAGUCUGCUCGGUUGUUCCUCCCAGUUAGCAUAAGCUAAACUAAAACUUUCCCAGCUAAGGAAAGGCAGCUGCAGUCAAGUGUUCGGCCAGGACAUUUAUUAAAGCAGUGGACUUUGGUUAUGUGCGGUGGGACACUUUUCCUCUGUUUUAUUCAAGAAGUCGCAGCUUGGACUGUUGUGAAAACUGACGCGACACACGCGAGAGCACGCUAGGUUAAAAGACAGUGAGGAGGGUUGGCUACCGCGUCGGGGAGCUACACCACUGCUGUUCUUUGUGAACUUAGAGGUGAGAAUCGUCUUGGACACCGGAGGAGUUGUGGUUUCGUUUGGAAAAGGCGACCAAGAUCGACUACACGGUGGGGACCGGGAGAUUCAGUGCUGCGGGAGUCCAUGCAGGAGGCGCGUGCGGAGCCACGAGCCACGAGAGGUCCACGCUGUGAGCACGUGAACGCUCCACUCUUCACUUCUAAACGCAACGAGUCAGGUACCGAGUCAAUUUCUUUUGUUUGCUCAUUGAGUGAAGCGGCCAGUGUUUAAGUUUCCAGGCCCCAACGCACUCAAGCGACGUUCAGGCCUGCAACGUACUUUUUUGGGUCAAUUUAGUUAUUAUAAAGCCGGCAUAGCUUAGGAUUUGCUAAUGACUCUGAUGAUUUUGUUUGUUGUAUUUGUUUGUUAAUGCCCUGAAAGUGACUGAUGGACACCGAGGGUUUGAUUUUUGAACUUUAAAGGGAAACUGUAAUUGUAAGGUUUUGAGUUAAUUCACAUUCCUUAUUGACUGUACAUUGCUUUAAAGGUAAUUUGAGUUAUUUUAAGUUGUGCCAAUUCCUUCCAAUGUGUUUAUGGUUUAUUUACAAAUGUAAGAUAUUUCAGUUUACUACAUUCAGGGUAAUUUCAUUUGAAAUAUAUUUUCAUAGUAAAAAGAAGAAUGACA